CCCCCAGCUCGUGCCGUUCCCGCCGUUGGCCGCCAGGUGUCGCGCGCGUCCCGCUGAGGGCGGCGGUGCCGGGCGGGGCGGGCUCCGUGUGGGGACGGCGGCCGAGGAGCCUCGUGUCCGGGCGGUGUGUGCGCAGCGCGAGCAGACCACGAGCAGCACUUCAAGAUCUGCCAAAACUACCCAACCGAAGACUUUUUCCCUAUGAACAAUAAAUGAACGGACAGUACAGACACCGUGCUCCUGAUAGAAACUGCAGCAAGUUGUGUAGGAACACAUCUGGGAGAACUGUACGUGCUGAGGUGGUGCAUCUCAUCUGCAGGUCAGUGCAAGAAGGGAUGGUUCAGUGUUACAGGAAUAGCAAACCCUGGGGCAUCCACAGAAACAUAGUUAGAAGUGUCAUAUAAAGACGCAAAUACUUCUACCAUUCUUAGGCCAUCCUUGCCAGGCUCAGGUAUUUGUCAAAACAAAUUACCGGGUCACACUCCCUUAAAGCUUUUGUUGCACAAUGGUGUCUUGUAUCUAGAAGCAAUGUGUACGCUAAUCACCCACUUCCUUCUCAGGAGUUAAGCCUUUACAUUUCAGACAAUGCUUCAGAUGAAAAAACACUUCACUUUGCUUCAAUUCAGGUAAACUGGCUAAAGGAAAUUCUUUAGCUGAGGGCUCUUUCUGUUCUAUUCUGGCCAGACCUGGGACACAAACUGCUUGCUCAGAAUUGAUUUAAGAGGUCGGAGUGAGCUGGCUGCUCUGCAAGCACGAAUCAGCUGCAGAACAGAACACACACAUAGUUUGGAAUUUGGGUUGUUCGUUAUACCAGUAGAAAGUAGUGUUUACACUUACCUGAAAUGGCUCUGGGUUAAGCCUCCUCACGAUCUCUGUGAAUUCUGCUGCGUAGUAUGUUGAAGAACAGAACCAUUUCCUCCUUAAUAACAUUAAUGAAGAUUUCACAUGUAAAUUUAGUCCUUGUAAAGCAUCAAAAAGUAAAUAUUUAGGUAUUUUAUUAGAUGUCUACCGAAGUCAAGCUCAUUGCUCUAAGUAUAAUUUGGUUUUCAUCACAACUAGAUGUUGUCAGUAAAUGUCUCAGUGUUUUGGUUCGAUAGCUGAACUGCACACCUGCAGAAAUGCAGGACUGAUCAGACCAAACCAAUCAUUCAUUUCAACACGUUUUUGUGGGUUUUUCAGUAUUUACUUUUUCAACCCCCUGCCAUCCCCCUAAGGGCUGUAGCCUGCAAGGCGCGCACACUCCAUGUCUAAAUGAUGUUCCCGUACCUUCCCUAUCCCUCGCCCUCAACAGGCAGCAUUUCAGAAGCACAGUUCUAAGAAACAUUUCAAUAUGUGCAAGUGAUCUUUGUUGGCGUAACUGUAAAGGAAUGAAAUACACAAGUAAGUGAUGGGCUGUUUCUAUGGACAAAGAUCACUACAACUUUAUAAAUAAACUACCAUUCUAGAAUGCUAAAUAGUCAAGAGAAAUUCAAGGUGAGUUUAGUACAAUUUCUCCGUGUCAUUGAAGAGAUCAGUCUAUUCAGUAAUAAAAUACUGUACAUUCGUGCCCCAGCAGCGCUGUGCAGCAUCUUUAGGAACCAACCAAACAAAAAAUGCCAAGCAAAAAAAACCCACAAAAUUUAGCAAGGUGGGACUGCCCGUAAUAAAGCAGAUAUUUACAGUAAGCACAAUACAGCAAUUUAUUUAGAUGUUUAAAUGAAGAAUACAAAGGGAAAUAAAGAUCACAAAAUUAUACAUACUACAACAGUGUGUCAUAUAUUAGAUGGUAUAAAUGAAUGCAACACCUUGUUGGUGUUAACUAAAGAUAAAACUAAAUAUCCAAAACACAGCACUUUUGUUUUAAGUGUGCUGCUUCAACACAAUACACUUUUAUACAGAUCUAAAAGGUGUCAAAAUUAGUAGCUGCAAACUUGUUUCUUGCAUGUGACUUUUCAUCUUUAGCUUAAAAGAUUUCAGAAAAUGGCUCUGAAAUACGUUUGUCAUCUGUUGUAAUGUCAAGGAUAUUCAGAACAAGAAAAUUCUAUAAUACAAUAAGAGUCCAGAUAUAUUUUUUUAAUGGUGCUGGCCUCUGUUUUUGAGAUUGUACAAGGUUAUGUGCAAAAACUAAGUUUGUCAAAAUUCAUACUAUAGCAGUUUCAAGCUUUUGCUAAGUAAACUAAAUACAGCAUUUAUUACACAGCAGGGCAACACUAAAAAAGAGAAACAAAUCUAUGAUGGGUACACAAGAACAAUUUCAUAAGCUUCACUUGAAUAGGUCUAAAA